UUGUUAGGAAGAUGAUCCCUAUGAUCUUGAAGAUGUUUCUGCACAGAAAUGAGGGAAACACAAAGAACCAAAUACAGUUCUGAAACUUGGGAUCUGUAUUUUGAGAUGAUUUUAUUUUCAGAAUGAGAAGCAUAUCUGGUUACCUUUAUGAAUGUAGAAACAUGAGAGGAGAGUUAUGAUGGCAAAAAACAAAGAGCCUCGUCCCCCAUCCUAUACUAUCAGUGUAGUUGGACUCUCUGGGACUGAAAAAGACAAAGGUAACUGUGGAGUUGGAAAGUCUUAUUUGUCCAAUAGAUUUGUACGCGCAAAAGCAGAUGAAUAUUAUCCAGAGCAUACUUCUGUGCUUAGCCCCGUUGACUUCGGAGGACGAGUAGUAAACAACGAUCACUUUUUGUACUACUGGGGUGACAUAACAUAAAAUGGUGAAGACAGAGUAGAAUGCAAAAUUCAUGUCAUUUAACAGAGUUCAUUGAUGACCAGGCUUUCUUGUCUCAUCGGAGUACGAAUUUGCAACCAUAUAUAAAACGUGCAGCUGCAUCUGAAUUGUAGUCAGCAGGAAAACUAAUGUACAUUUGCACUGAUCAGCUAGGCUUAGAACAAGACUUUGAACAGAAGCAAAUGCCGGAAGGGAAGCUCAAUGUAGAUGGAUUUUUAUUACUCAUUGAUGUAAGUCAAGGAUGCAAUAGGAAGUUUGAUGAUCAACUUAAAUUUGCGAAUAACCUUUUUGUCCAGUUAUCAAAAUCAAAAAUACCUGUAAUAAUAGCAGCAACUAAAUGUGAUGAAUGCAUGGAUCAUUAUCUUAGAGAAGUUCAGGCAUUUGCUUCAAACAAAAAGAACCUUCUUUUAGUGGAAAUAUCAGCAGGAUUUAAUGUCAACAUUGAAACACGUUUCACGGCACUGGUACAAAUGUUGGAUAAAACUUGUAGCAAGCCUAAAAUUACUCCCUAUUUGGAUGCUUAUAAAACACAGAGACAACUUGCUGUCAGAGCAACAGAUAAGUUUGAAAAACUUGUGCAGACUGUGAGAGAUUAUCAUGCAACUUGGAAAACUGUUAGUAAUAAAUUAAAAAAUCAUCCUGAUUAUGAGGAAUACAUCAACUUAGAGGGAACAAGAAAGGCCAGAAAUACAUUCUCAAAACAUAUAAAACAACUUAAACAGGAACAUAUAAGAAAAAGGAAAGAAGAGUAUGUAAAUACUUUACCAAGAGCUUUUAACACUCUUUUGCCAAAUCUAGAAGAGAUUGAACAUUUGAAUUGGUCAGAAGCUCUGAAGUUAAUGGAAAAGAGAGCAGAUUUCCAGUUACGUUUUGUGGUGCUACAAUAAACACCUUUGGAUGAAACUGACCAUAUAGACAAAAUUAAUGAUAGGCAGAUUCCAUUUGACCUCCAGAGCACUUUAGAAGCUGAAAAACUAUCAGAACCAUGUACGUCAUCUAAUAUCCGAGAAGAGGAAGGUAGAAAUGAAGGAAAAAUUCAAAAAGACUUUGGAAAAAAUUCAAUUCGUUUCACCUGGACAGCCGCGGGAGGAAGUUAUGUGCUUUGUUAUGGAGGAUGAAGCCUUCAAAUAUAUCACUGAGGCUGAUAGCAGUAAGGUAAGCAUCAGUGAGAAAUGGUUGAAAAAGCCAAAGAAGAGUUUCAAUAAUUGCUUUUUGAGCGUUCCGAACUUUUUUAUGAUUUAGAUCUUAAUGCAACACCUAGUUCAGAUAAAAAGAGUGAAAUUCAUACGGUUCUCAGUGAAGAAGCUGGAUAUAAAGCUUUACAGAAACUUGCACCUGAUAGGAACUCUCUUCUGCCUAAGCAUAUAGGAUUUGUUUAUCAUUCCACUAAAGAAAGAUGUCUUAGUGGUCAAAAUUGUACAGACAUUAAAGUGGAGCAGUUACUUGCUGGUAGUCUUUUACAGCUGGAUCAUGGCCGCUUAAGAUUAUAUCACAAUAGUACCAAUAUAGAUAAAGUUAACCUUUUUAUUUUAGGGAAGGUCGACCUUGCCCAAGAACUAGCAAAUGAGAUAAAGCACAGUCCUCUGAAGAUGAGUAUGCCUUAGAUGGAAAAUUUAUGAACUGGAUCUUCGGCCAGUUCACCUUACUUUUUGAGUCAGUUAUGGACUGCCACCUUUAAACCACAUGGGUGCUUCUGUGUAUUUAAUUCCAUUGAGUCAUUGAGUUUUAUUGGGUAAUUUAUUGGGAAAAUAAGAACUGAAGCUUAUCAGAUCAGAAAAGAUAAAUAAAUGGCUAAUCUUCCAUUUACAUUAAUUCUGGCUAAUCAGAGACAUUCCAUUAGUAAGAAUCUACCAAUUCUCAGGCACCAAGGGCAGCAGUUGGCAAACAAGUUACAAUGUCCUUUUGUAGAUGUACCUGCUGGUACAUAUGCUUGUAAAUUUGAUGAAACCCAAAUAAAGCAAGCUCUAAGAGUACUGGAGUCAGGUAAACACAAUUUGGAUGUGGUGAGCCCAGUUCCUGCCAAUAAGGACAUAUCAGAAGUUGACUUGAGAAUUGUCAUGUGUGCCAUGUGUGGAGAUCCAUUUAGUGUGGAUCUUAUUCUUUCCCCCUUCUUUGAUUCUCAUUCUUGCAGUGCUGCUCAAGCUGGACAGAAUAAUUCCCUAAUGCUUGAUAAAAUCAUUGAUUAAAAAAGGAGGCUAAUACAGAUCACAAUAUUAUCAUACCACUCUUCAAUUGGAGUAAGAAAAGAUGAACUAGUUCAAGGAUAUAUAUUAGUUUACUCUGCAAAACGGAAAACCGCGAUGGGAAUGUUUUGAGCAUUUCUAUCAGAAGUUCAAGACACCAUUCCUAUACAGCUGGUAGCAGUUACUGACAGCCAAGCAGAUUUUUUUUUUGAAAAUGAGGCUAUCAAAGAGUUAACGACUGAAGGAGAACACAUUGCAACUGAGAUCACUGCUAAAUUUACAGCAUUGUAUUCUUUAUCUCAGUAUCAUCGGCAAACUGAGAUCUUUAUUCUGUUUUUUAGUGAUGUUCUAGAGAAAAAACAUAUGAUAGAAAAUUCUUAUUUGUCUGAUAAUGCAAGGGAAUCAACCCACCAAAGUGAAGAUGUUUUUCUACCAUCUCCCAGAGACUGUUUUCCCUAUAACAACUACCCUGAUUCAGAUGAUGACACAGAAGCACCACCUCCUUAUAGUCCAACUGGGGAUGAUGUACAGUUGCUUCCAACACCUAGUGACUGUUCCAGAUAAAGAUUAGAUUUGGAAGGAAAUGAAUGUCCUAUUCAUAGUACCCCAAACUGUCAUGACCAUGAACGCAACCACAAAGUGCCUCCACCUAUUAAAUCUACUUCAGUUGUACCUAAGACAAAUGUGAAAAAAAAUGGAUCCAAACCUUUUAAAAACAAGCGAAGCUGGUAUUGGUAAAAAUCCAAGAAAGCAGACUUCCCCGGUGCCUUUGGCACAUCCUGAAGAUAUGGAUCCUUCAGAUAACUAUGCGGAACCCAUUGAUAAAAUUUUCAAACAGAAGGGCUAUUCUGAUGAGAUUUAUGUUGUCCCAGAUGAUAGUCAAAAUUGCAUUAAAAUUCAAAACUCAUGUGCAAAUAACACCCAAGGACAUGGAGAAAAUGGAUUUUCUGAUAGAACCUCAAAAAAUCAUGGGGAAUGGAGGCCUUCAAAAUACAAAUAUAAAUCUAAAACUUUGUUUAGUAAAGCCAAGUCAUGUUAUAGAAGAACACAUUCAGAUGCCAGUGAUGAUGAGGCUUUCACCACUUCUAAAACAAAAAGAAAAGGAAGACAUCAUGGAAGUGAAGAAGAUCCACUUCUUUCUCCUGUUGAAACAAGGUGAUAUUGAUAAUCCUGAAAUCACUUAUGACCAGGAGUUAGAUGAUAAGAAGAUGAAGAAGAAAAUACGCAAAGUGAAAGAAGAUAAAAAGCAGAAAAAGAAAACUAAGAACUUCAAUCCACCAACACGUAGAAAUCGGGCAAGUGAUUACUUUGGGAUGCCCUUCCAGGAUCUGGUUACAGCUGAGAAACCCAUACCAGUAUUUGUUGAGAAACAUGUGGAAUUUAUUGAAGAUACAGGGUUAUGUACCGAAGGACUCUACCGUGUUAGCGGGAACAAAACUGACCAAAACAAUAUUCAAAAGCAGUUUGAUCAAGAUCAUAAUAUCAAUCUAGUGUCAAUGGAAAUAAAAGUAAAUGCUAAAGCUGGAGCCCUUACAGCUUUCUUUGCAGAUCUGCCAGAUCCUUUAAUACCAUAUUCUCUUCAUCCAGAGCUAUUGGAAGCAGCAAAAAUCCUGGAUAAAACAGAACGUCCUCACGCCUUAAAGAAAUUGUUAAGAAAUUUCAUUCUGUAAACUAUGAUGAAUUCAGAUACAUGAUAACACAUCUAAACAGGGUCAGUCAGCAAAAUAAAAUCAACCUAAUGACAGCAGACAACUUAUCCAUAUGUUUUUGGUCAACCUUGAUGAGACCUGA